GGCAGGCCGAGCCCGUCCCGCGGCCGGGACACGCGUGGGGCUGCGCGUUCGCGCCCGCCGCCAGUGCCCCGCGGGGGCGGGGAGAGGAGGAAGGCGGAUACGCGAUGUUUGCAAAGCAGGUCGCUUUAAUCCUUCUCACUGAAAUGUCCAGAGCCUCUUCUAUUGCACAAUAAUAGGAAAUAAUAACUCAGGGCUGCUAAUUGUUUGCUUUCGCUGAAAAGGACCUUCCUCUGGUCAUAUCGGAUAAAAGGAUUUUUAUCCGUCCACUCGGUUUAGUGAAUGACAAUAAAUGGCAUUAGGCCUGGAAGACAUCUGCUAUUGAAUGUCUCCUCAGAGGACAAAAAAAAAUAAAAAAGUCAGACAAUAAAAUCUGUGCAUGGAUAUUAUUGUCUUUUAGCUAUGUAUUAUGUGUAUAUAUAUAUAUAUAUAUAUAUGCAAAAUGUUAGUUAUUGGAGACAUUAUUUUAGCACAUGAGAAAGUUUCAAGACAGAACUAUAAACCUGAAAGAAGCAUAAACAGAAGUUCAGAGAAUGCUGAUCUGAUUCAGAUCAACUUCCUACUAAUGUUUAGCAGUGGUUUGGGCUUAUUAAGGACUUUGUCCAGGUCUUUGGUGACAACAGUUUACCAAAAAAGCCUUUGCUGACAGUUGAGUCUCUGUCUUAUUUUGAGUCAUGGACAGGCUCCAGGCCUCCUGAGCAUGGGAGGUUUGCUUAUUCCUAUUUAUCCAAAACAGGAAAUCAAUGUGUAUUUCUAAAAUAUUUCAGAUGGUCAUGUCAAGGCCAAAAAAACUUUACACAAUCAUGUAAAAACCUUACCAUGUUAACUUAAGUGGCUCCGCUUCACAGCUCCAUUGUCUGAGAGCUAUUGACAAAUGACUGCUAAACUCCGGGAGUCUCAAGCACAUCCAGACUGUGUUACUUUGGUCACUUCGAGUUAUAACAGCAAAUUAUUAUUUGGUGGAAUCUUUCAAUUGAGUCGGUGACUUGUGAAUUUUCCCCUGAAUGUUAGAUACCCACCCAUGCUAUAAAGACAUAAUCUCUAAUGGGACUAAUGGAGAGGUAGAUCUUUUUUCCUAUCAGAUUGAUAUUCACCUAUGUCAUUAAUCCUUAAUAAUAAACAGAACUAAUAAGGUUUGCUAGGGUUUGUUGAUUUUUUUUGUUUUGUUUAUUUGGUUUUGUUUCUGUUUGUUUCAUUUUGUUGCUGUGGAGUUGUUUUUUGUUUUUUACCUUGCAAAACAGAGCCUGAUAUUAAACAGUCUGGGAGGCUGUGCUUAUGCUUGUUUUAGAAUUGUCAUAGUGACUUUUUAAUUUUUCAUUCUUAUUUUCUUUUCUUUCCUGAAAGUAUUGUUCAAGAUGUCAAAGGUACUAGCACAAUUCUGGGAAGGACAUAUGAUUUUUUCACUCUCCGGAAAAAUUAAACCAUUUUAAGCACUGAUACAAAGGUAAUUCUUGGUGAUAGCUGAUAUCAACAGUGGGUUCCUACUUGGUGAGUGGGCCAGGAAAACCAUCCUGGUGGAAAGGAGAGCCUGGAAGGUUUCCUGUGAGCAGAGCCCUGUGCGCCAGGAGAUCCUGCAGAGAGAAGCUGUAGGAGUAGCCAGCUCAGGAAAGUGCCUGGGACCAAAUAUUUGCAGAAUUGUUCUGAAGUAUUCUGCUUACGGUCUUUGUUUUGAGAUAAGAAAAUGAGGAAACUGUCUAAAAUAACUACUCACCAAAAGGAUGAAUUGUAUGAGGGUACCACUUCUGUGUCCCAUCUCCUCCCCCUUGCAGACCUGUGCACUGGCAGAGGCUGCCUUGCUAUUCUUGGUAAACAGCUUUUGAGGUGUUUGACUGACACUGAAAUUCAUGCAGCUUCUUAGAUGCCAAAUAUCUUGUGACCUGUACCCUGAAGAUUACUGAUAAACAGUCAUCCAUUUAAUAAUCCAUUUAAUUUCUAUUUUCAAAGUAAAAUAGAAGAAUCAAGGUGUAAUUUUCUUUAAUAUAAUGAGUACUUAAUUCUGAAGUCCACCUUUUAAGGUCUCCUUUGUAUUUUAAUUUUUUUGCGUGUAUGUAUUUGUGUGUUUAUUUAUUUUUAUUCUGUUUUAAUUUCAAUGAAUUUUCAUGUUCUUCAGAGUAGGAAGAAUUAUUUCUCUGGUAGCAUGAGCUAUACCAAAUCCUGCAGGUUGCACUUAAAUCUGAUUUAUGUGUCAAACUUAGCGAGGAGUGUCAGCCUAGAGAGACCUUUUCCCUAACAAAUAAAUCAACACAUUUCCUAAAAUGAAGGUGGCGGGUGUUUACUUCUUUUUUGUUUUUCAUUCAUUUUUCAGUUGACUUGAGCUCAUGCCAGCUUAUAGAGAGCUGGAUUGCAUUUAAGUUUUCUAAAACAUAUUCUCUAGAAAGGAAGCAACUCCAGUGCAGUGUAUGAUGAAACUACAAGAGUCUGAGGUCAUAGCACUAGCCUAUAAAAUAAAUUUCUCGGACUUCUGUCUUCCAAGAAUCAGCUAAAACAUAAUGCUGGGAAUGUAAUGUAUAAUGAAUAAAGAUAUUUCAGUGAUUCAUGA